rnacentral:rRNA from 1 species
AAAUUGAAGAGUUUGAUCAUGGCUCAGAUUGAACGCUGGCGGCAGGCCUAACACAUGCAAGUCGAGCGGUAGCACAGAGAGCUUGCUCUCGGGUGACGAGCGGCGGACGGGUGAGUAAUGUCUGGGAAACUGCCUGAUGGAGGGGGAUAACUACUGGAAACGGUAGCUAAUACCGCAUAACGUCGCAAGACCAAAGUGGGGGACCUUCGGGCCUCAUGCCAUCAGAUGUGCCCAGAUGGGAUUAGCUAGUAGGUGGGGUAAUGGCUCACCUAGGCGACGAUCCCUAGCUGGUCUGAGAGGAUGACCAGCCACACUGGAACUGAGACACGGUCCAGACUCCUACGGGAGGCAGCAGUGGGGAAUAUUGCACAAUGGGCGCAAGCCUGAUGCAGCCAUGCCGCGUGUAUGAAGAAGGCCUUCGGGUUGUAAAGUACUUUCAGCGAGGAGGAAGGCGUUAAGGUUAAUAACCUUGGUGAUUGACGUUACUCGCAGAAGAAGCACCGGCUAACUCCGUGCCAGCAGCCGCGGUAAUACGGAGGGUGCAAGCGUUAAUCGGAAUUACUGGGCGUAAAGCGCACGCAGGCGGUCUGUCAAGUCGGAUGUGAAAUCCCCGGGCUCAACCUGGGAACUGCAUUCGAAACUGGCAGGCUAGAGUCUUGUAGAGGGGGGUAGAAUUCCAGGUGUAGCGGUGAAAUGCGUAGAGAUCUGGAGGAAUACCGGUGGCGAAGGCGGCCCCCUGGACAAAGACUGACGCUCAGGUGCGAAAGCGUGGGGAGCAAACAGGAUUAGAUACCCUGGUAGUCCACGCCGUAAACGAUGUCGACUUGGAGGUUGUGCCCUUGAGGCGUGGCUUCCGGAGCUAACGCGUUAAGUCGACCGCCUGGGGAGUACGGCCGCAAGGUUAAAACUCAAAUGAAUUGACGGGGGCCCGCACAAGCGGUGGAGCAUGUGGUUUAAUUCGAUGCAACGCGAAGAACCUUACCUACUCUUGACAUCCAGAGAACUUAGCAGAGAUGCUUUGGUGCCUUCGGGAACUCUGAGACAGGUGCUGCAUGGCUGUCGUCAGCUCGUGUUGUGAAAUGUUGGGUUAAGUCCCGCAACGAGCGCAACCCUUAUCCUUUGUUGCCAGCGGUCCGGCCGGGAACUCAAAGGAGACUGCCAGUGAUAAACUGGAGGAAGGUGGGGAUGACGUCAAGUCAUCAUGGCCCUUACGAGUAGGGCUACACACGUGCUACAAUGGCAUAUACAAAGAGAAGCGACCUCGCGAGAGCAAGCGGACCUCAUAAAGUAUGUCGUAGUCCGGAUUGGAGUCUGCAACUCGACUCCAUGAAGUCGGAAUCGCUAGUAAUCGUAGAUCAGAAUGCUACGGUGAAUACGUUCCCGGGCCUUGUACACACCGCCCGUCACACCAUGGGAGUGGGUUGCAAAAGAAGUAGGUAGCUUAACCUUCGGGAGGGCGCUUACCACUUUGUGAUUCAUGACUGGGGUGAAGUCGUAACAAGGUAACCGUAGGGGAACCUGCGGUUGGAUCACCUCCUUACCUUAAAGAA